rnacentral:tRNA from 1 species
GCCGGAGUGGUGGAACUGGUAGACACGCAUGGUUUAGGGCCAUGUACCCCUGUGGUGUGGAGGUUCGAGUCCUCUCUCCGGCACCA